GACAGAGGGUGCAAACGUUGUUCGGACUUACUGGGCGUAAAGCGCGUGUAGGCGGCCUUGCAAGUCGGAUGUGAAAGCCCACGGCUCAACCGUGGAAGUGCAUCCGAAACUGCAUAGCUUGAGUCUCGGAGAGGAAGGUGGAAUGCUUGGUGUAGAGGUGAAAUUCGUAGAUAUCAAGCAGAACACCUGCGGCGAAGGCGGCCUUCUGGACGAUGACUGACGCUGAGACGCGAAAGCGUGGGGAGCAAACAGG
rnacentral:rRNA from 1 species